rnacentral:rRNA from 1 species
AUUGAACGCUGGCGGCAGGCCUAACACAUGCAAGUCGAACGAGUGGCGGACGGGUGAGUAAUGUAUGGGAAACUGCCCGAUAGAGGGGGAUAACUACUGGAAACGGUGGCUAAUACCGCAUACCAUCGGAUGUGCCCAUAUGGGAUUAGCUAGUUGGUGGGGUAACGGCUCACCAAGGCGACGAUCCCUAGCUGGUCUGAGAGGAUGACCAGCCACACUGGGAAUGAGACACGGGCCAGAAUCCUAAGGGAGGCAGGAGUGGGGAAUAUUGCACAAUGGGCGCAAGCCUGAUGCAGCCAUGCCGCGUGUAUGAAGAAGGCCUUCGGGGUGUAAAGUACGUUCAGCGGGGAGGCGGUACCCGCAGAAGAAGCACCGGCUAACUCAGUGCCAGCAGCCGCGGUAAUUC